rnacentral:rRNA from 1 species
AACGAACGCUGGCGGCAGGCUUAACACAUGCAAGUCGAGCGCCCCGCAAGGGAGCGGCAGACGGGUGAGUAACGCGUGGGAAACUACCCUUUGGUACGGAAUAACACAGAGAAAUUUGUGCUAAUACCGUAUGUGCCCUUCGGGGAAAGAUUUAUCGCCAUAGGAUGUGCCCGCGUCGGAUUAGCUAGUUGGUAGGGUAAUGGCCUACCAAGGCGACGAUCCGUAGCUGGUCUGAGAGGAUGAUCAGCCACACUGGGACUGAGACACGGCCCAGACUCCUACGGGCGGCAGCAGU